GUGAAAGGAGGAGCAUCGAUCGGCUCCCUGUGGUGGUUUCCGCCUUCAGUCUCCCGCCUUUACGGUGAUUCAUCAGGAGCUCUGCAGCAGGCGCAGCUCCAGAUGAGGUCAGGAUCUGCUGCAGGGUUCCAGCCGUCCUCCAUGUUCAGCAGCAGCUGACGCGGAGCAGCUGGAGGCCGGCGCGGCUGGCCAACGUGAGGACGGCUGCUGUGAGUCAGCGCCGCAGUCAUGACGUCGGGGGAGGCGGCGGCGCGGCGGGGCUGCAUGUGACACGAUGACGAUGGUGAUUGUGAUGAAGAGGAGAGUGAAGUCCUGUGAUGGACCGGAUCUGGUGACCUGGACUCAGUGACCUCUGGAUGCAGAGCGUUUGCUUCCUGAGGCAGCUUCUGGAUUUAUGAGACGCAGGUUGGACCCGGUUCGUUUGGUCCAGAUCCGUCGGGUCUGGGUGGAAUCAUCGGCAGCCAAACGGCGACCUGAAGUUUGUCCGUCCGUCUGGAAGCCUGCAGAGUCCGCCAGCAGUCAGUGCAGCUGCUGCUUCUGUUUAAUAAUGUGCAGGAAUCGACUGGCAGUGUCAACAGAUUGUUGUUAUUGAUGCUGUGAUGUCCAGCAGACAGCAUCAAUGCAGCCGGACCCUGCAGACAAUCGAUGGCUUAAUGGACGACCAGUCGCUGCUCCACGCCGUUCUGCUGGAGAUUCUCCAGCUGACAGCAGAUUCUGCUCAGUUUCUCCCAGAUGUUGAUGUGUCAGAACCAGGCUGGUUCCGGUCGGGUCUGAUUGAACGUGGGUUCGGCCGGUGCCUGCAGUCAGCUCUGUUUGCGCUCUCGGUGUCAUUAGCAUGUUGUCUGGAGCAGAAACGCCUCCACUCCGUCAGUAAGUCAUAAAUUACUGUCUUUGUGUGGCUUUUUCACUCGGCUGCUUAGCGACGUCUAAUUAGCCCAGCGUGUCUGCAAACUGUGUCGGCGUUGAACUUUUUAUUUUGUCAUUGAAAUGAGCUUUUACAAGUGAACCGCUGAGAUGUGACAUGUCGCCGGAUCCAUACUCCUGAAAGAAUUGUUUACCUCUGAGAAGGCGGAGAGCAGCGGCGCCUCCUGCGACACGGCCGCUUAUUAAUCAGAGAAAAGAUGCUUUAAGCCAAAUCAACAGACAUUCAGAAACAGGUUCAGCUGCUGCAUCCAGUGGCUGCAAUCAUUCUAUUGGCUGAGAGGUUGCCAGGCGAAGGUGCAUUUUUUUCCAGAAGCAAGCAGAAAAUGUUUGUUACGUGAGCAGAGAGUCUGAGCAGCAACUAAAUCUGAGGAUGGAGUUCUGGUUCCAGUAGAACCGGGUCAACCGGACUGUAAGGGGGUUAAACACUUCCUUUCAGAUCCAGGAUCCAGCUGGACUCGUUUAUAUAACUCAGUUCGACUCUUUCUUCAUGUGUUGUCUGCGGCUCGUUCUCGACUCUCAGCGUUUUGCUUCUUCAAGGUAAAAACUUUGUUUUCCUGCUGAGCUGCUCUGACUUUCAGAGGGUCCGGGAGAUCAGUUACAGACCUGACAAAGAGGUUCUGAAGACAAACUGGCUCAAACUGAUUCUGAAACCUCUCCACUGGGGGGCGCUGUGGAGUCAGAGCAGACUUGACCCUGCCUGUCACUGCUGCUGAUGCUAAUCCAUCCAGAAAGUGUGUGCAGACGUCCAGCCAGCAGAAAGCAUGAAGGUGAAGCUUCAUUGAUCCGCAGGAGAAACUGAGCAGAUCAGAGCUUCAGCAGCUGGCAGAACCAGAGCCUGUCAUCACAGCAGAUGCUGCCUGACAGCAGGUCGCGACCCCGCUGCCCACACCUUAAACACACACACACACAGUUCACUGCCAGUGGGCCAGGCUGGAGCUGACAGAAAACACUGAAAUGUUUUACAGAGCAGCACAAAUCCUGAACGCUGCAACAAUCAUCAGAAUGAACCUCAUUAGAAACUCCUGCUGCAGUUUUGAUGAGGAUUUUACAUGUAGAGUCUGACCUGGACUGAGGUCAGCAGGACGGCCAGGCAAACCGCUUUUACUCACAAAGAACUCAGAAUAAUAACAAACAUAGACAAGAUGCUUAAAACAGAGACCAUCAGUCAGGAUGAGCAAAACGAUUCAACAAAUACGAGU